AGAAAGGAAUGCAGUUUGUCACAGAGGUCUCCAUCAGGAAAUAAUCCUUAUCUUCAAGUCCUACCAUCCAAAAUCAGUUAACACUGGUAGUGAAAGACGCGCUUAGCCUGGAUGCUAGAGCGCUAGGAAAAUAUUUCUCAUGUGGUUGAGUUUGACUUCCAACAUCUCUUUAUUUGGGAAGAAAUGAAUUCAACGGUUCUUUUUAGUGCUUGUGAAAAUGAAGGAUAUUUGUGCCUGCACAACAAGAAAGGUGAUUUAGUCGCUCUAUUUGAUUGGUAUUUUUUUGAGGGAGACUUGCCAAAUUCAUCAGUGCUCAUCUGGAAGCCAAAAUAAAUAUCCAUGUGUUUUGAAGAGCAGAAAUGCUGGAAUGCAGCUAGAAAGUAGCUCAGGGCUCCUGCCAGUCGUACUGGCUCACCAC